UACAGAGGGGGCGAGCGUUGUUCGGAAUUACUGGGCGUAAAGGGCGCGUAGGCGGCCCGCUAAGUCGAACGUGAAAUCCCCAGGCUCAACCUGGGAACUGCGUCCGAUAUUGGCAGGCUUGAAUCCGGGAGAGGGAUGUGGAAUUCCAGGUGUAGCGGUGAAAUGCGUAGAUAUCUGGAGGAACACCGGUGGCGAAGGCGACUUCCUGGCCUGUUCUUGACGCUGAGGCGCGAAAGCUAGGGGAGCAAACGGG
rnacentral:rRNA from 1 species